rnacentral:rRNA from 1 species
AGAGUAUGAUCCUGGCUCAGAUUGAACGCUGGCGGCAGGCCUAACACAUGCAAGUCGAGCGGAAACGAUCCUAGCUUGCUAGGAGGCGUCGAGCGGCGGACGGGUGAGUAACGCGUGAGAAUCUACCCAUGAGUGGGGGACAACCCGGGGAAACUCGGGCUAAUACCGCAUACGCCCUACGGGGUAAAGCAGGGGACCUUCGGGCCUUGCGCUGAUGGAUGAGCUCGCGUCGGAUUAGCUUGUUGGUGAGGUAAAGGCUCACCAAGGCGACGAUCCGUAGCUGGUCUGAGAGGAUGAUCAGCCACACCGGGACUGAGACACGGCCCGGACUCCUACGGGAGGCAGCAGUGGGGAAUCUUGGACAAUGGGGGCAACCCUGAUCCAGCCAUGCCGCGUGUGUGAAGAAGGCCUUCGGGUUGUAAAGCACUUUCAGCAGGGAGGAAGGCUUACCCCUAAUACGGGUGAGUACUUGACGUUACCUGCAGAAGAAGCACCGGCUAAUUUCGUGCCAGCAGCCGCGGUAAUACGAAAGGUGCAAGCGUUAAUCGGAAUUACUGGGCGUAAAGCGCGUGUAGGCGGUGUGUUAAGUCGGAUGUGAAA